AACGAACGCUGGCGGCAGGCUUAACACAUGCAAGUCGAACGGGUGUAGCAAUACAUCAGUGGCAGACGGGUGAGUAACACGUGGGAACCUUCCUAGGGGUACGGAACAACUCAGGGAAACUUGAGCUAAUACCGUAUACGUCCGUGAGGAGAAAGAUUUAUCGCCCUUAGACGGGCCCGCGUCGGAUUAGCUAGUUGGUGGGGUAACGGCCUACCAAGGCGACGAUCCGUAGCUGAUCUUAGAGGAUGAUCAGCCACACUGGGACUGAGACACGGCCCAGACUCCUACGGGAGGCAGCAGUGGGGAAUCCUGGACAAUGGGCGCAAGCCUGAUCCAGCCAUGCCGCGUGAGUGAAGAAGGCCUUAGGGUUGUAAAGCUCUUUUACCAGGGACGAUAAUGACGGUACCUGGAGAAUAAGCCCCGGCAAACUUCGUGCCAGCCGCCGCUGUAAAAC
rnacentral:rRNA from 1 species